UCCAAAGGAAGAUGGGAACAAUCAUGCACGACUUGGAAAACGUCCGUGCAUACAUUGAUGAUCAACUCAUCCUACCUAACGGCGAUCUAGUGGA